rnacentral:rRNA from 1 species
UACGGGGGGGGCAAGCGUUGUUCGGAAUUACUGGGCGUAAAGGGCUCGUAGGCGGCCAACUAAGUCAGACGUGAAAUCCCUCGGCUUAACCUGGGAACUGCAUCCGAUACUGGAUGGCUUGAAUCCGGGAGAGGGAUGCAGAAUUCCAGGUGUAGCGGUGAAAUGCGUAGAUAUCUGGAGGAAUACCGGUGGCGAAGGCGGCAUCCUGGACCGGCAUUGACGCUGAGUGAGCGAAAGCCAGGGGAGCAAACGGG